rnacentral:rRNA from 1 species
CNGGGCUCAGNNNNAACGNNGGNNGNCGGUGCNUAAUACAUGCAAGUCGAGNGAACUGAUUAGAAGCUUGNUUNUANGACGUUAGCGGCGGACGGGUGAGUAACACNNGGNCAACCUGCCUGUAAGACUGGGAUAACUUCGGGAAACCGAAGCUAAUACCGGAUAGGNUCUUNUCCUUCAUGGGAGAUGAUUGAAAAGAUGGUUUCGGNUNNUCACUUACAGAUGGGCCCGCGGUGCAUUAGCUAGUUGGUGAGGUAACGGCUCACCAAGGCCACGAUGCAUAGCCGACCUGAGAGGGUGAUCGGCCACACUGGGACUGAGACACGGCCCAGACUCCUACGGGAGGCAGCAGUAGGGAAUCUUCCGCAAUGGACGAAAGUCUGACGGAGCAACGCCGCGUGAGUGAUGAAGGCUUUCGGGUCGUAAAACUCUGUUGUUAGGGAAGAACAAGUACAAGAGUAACUGCUUGUACCUUGACGGUACCUAACCAGAAAGCCACGGCUAACUACGUGCCAGCAGCCGCGGUAAUACGUAGGUGGCAAGCGUUAUCCGGAAUUAUUGGGCGUAAAGCGCGCGCAGGCGGUUUCUUAAGUCUGAUGUGAAAGCCCACGGCUCAACCGUGGAGGGUCAUUGGAAACUGGGGAACUUGAGUGCAGAAGAGAAAAGCGGAAUUCCACGUGUAGCGGUGAAAUGCGUAGAGAUGUGGAGGAACAC